rnacentral:rRNA from 1 species
ACGGAAGGCAGCAGUGGGGAAUAUUGGACAAUGGAGGCAACUCUGAUCCAGCGACGCCGCGUGAGUGAAGAAGUAUUUCGGUAUGUAAAGCUCUAUCAGCAGGGAAGAUGAUGACGGUACCUGACUAAGAAGCCCCGGCUAACUACGUGCCAGCAGCCGCGGUAAUACGUAGGGGGCAAGCGUUAUCCGGAUUUACUGGGUGUAAAGGGAGCGUAGACGGCUUUGCAAGUCUGAAGUGAAAGCCCGGGGCUCAACCCCGGAACUGCUUUGGAAACUGUAGAGCUAGAGUGCAGGAGAGGUAAGUGGAAUUCCUAGUGUAGCGGUGAAAUGCGUAGAUAUUAGGAGGAACACCAGUGGCGAAGGCGGCUUACUGGACUGUAACUGACGUUGAGGCUCGAAGGCGUGGGGAGCAAACAGGAUUAGAUACCCUGGUA